UAGGGGGGUUCGUUUUUCUUGCCUUACGGGUAGAUCUCCCACCCUGUGUUAUCAUUACCUUUGUUGCUUUGGCGGAUCGUUCGGUUCUGUCGACCACCGGCUUCGGCUGGUGUGCGUCCGCCAGAGGACCCCAAACUCUGAAUAUUAGUGUCGUCUGAGUACUAUAUAAUAGUUAAAACUUUCAACAACGGAUCUCUUGGUUCUGGCAUCGAUGAAGAACGCAGCGAAAUGCGAUAAGUAAUGCGAAUUGCAGAAUUCAGUGAGUCAUCGAAUCUUUGAACGCACAUUGCGCCCCGUGGUAUUCCGCGGGGCAUGCCUGUUCGAGCGUCAUUUCAACCCUCAAGCUCUGCUUGGUAUUGGACCGUACCGGUAACGGUAGGCCCUAAAAUUAGUGGCGGUGUCGUCUGGUACUAAGCGUAGUAAUUCUUCUCGCUAUAGUCUCCCGGUGGUAUCUAGCCAGCAACCCCCAAUUUUCUAUGGUUGACCUCGGAUCAGGUAGGGAUACCCGCUGAACUUAAGCAUAUCAAUAAGCGGAGGAAAA
rnacentral:rRNA from 1 species